AUACUACUCCCUCCAUUCGGAAAUACUUGUCAUCAAAAUGAAUAAAAAUGGAUGUAUCUAGAUGUAUAUUAAUUCUAAAUACAUCCCUUUUUAUCUAUUUUGAUGAUAAGUAUUUUGAUACGGAGGGAGUAUGUU
rfam:Triticum aestivum genome assembly, contig: Triticum_aestivum_CS42_TGACv1_scaffold_019990_1AS